UGGCGUGCGCCUGCGCGUCCCGGGCUGAGCCGGUGGCUUGUAGCUAGGUCCCGGAGUUCCUGAGGAUUAGCCCACCUCCUAGUCCGCCAACCGUAGGAGGACUAGAGAAAGACGCCCGCGCACAUCAUGGUUUCCUGCACCCAGGAGGUGGUAGCGGGCGCCUUUAAUCCCAGUACUGGGGAGGGUGAGGCUGGAGGAUUGCCUCAAAUUCGAGCUCUCAGAUAACAAAUAGCCUGUCACUGAGAGAAGCCAGGACAGGAGCUCAAGGCAGAACCUGGAGGCAAGAACUCAAGCAGAAGCCAUGGAAGAGCACCGGUCCCUGGCUCGAUCAUCUCUUCUACAAUCCAGGACCGGGACCACCUCCAGUGACCUGGUCCCUCCUGCAUCAGUCAUUAAUCAAGAAAAAUAUCCUGCCAGGCUCGGUGGCGCACGCCUUUGAUUCCAGCACUUGGGAGCAGAGGCAGGCGGAUCUCUGUGAGUUUGAGGCCAGCCUGGCCUACAAAGCGAGUCCAAGACAGCGAAGGCUACACAGAGAAAAACCCUGUCUCAAAAAACAAAACAAAACCCAAAUAAAUAAAAACAUUGUCUUCCAAGCUUGCCCAUAA